UGAUGAUGGUGAGGGAAAUUUCUAAGCAUACCCUGAAAUUUUCUAAAGCUUGGCAAAGAUUUUCCCUUUCUUUCUGCCUGAAACUCAAAAUCUCACUUCUCAAAUA
rfam:Capsicum annuum cultivar Zunla-1 chromosome 7, whole genome shotgun sequence